rnacentral:rRNA from 1 species
UACGUAGGGUACAAGCGUUGUCCGGAAUUAUUGGGCGUAAAGAGCUCGUAGGCGGUUUGUCGCGUCGAAUGUGAAAACCCGGGGCUCAACCCCGGGCCUGCAUUCGAUACGGGCAGACUAGAGUUCGGUAGGGGAGUCUGGAAUUCCUGGUGUAGCGGUGAAAUGCGCAGAUAUCAGGAGGAACACCGGUGGCGAAGGCGGGUCUCUGGGCCGAUACUGACGCUGAGGAGCGAAAGCGUGGGGAGCGAACAGG